rnacentral:rRNA from 1 species
GACGAACGCUGGCGGCGUGCUUAACACAUGCAAGUCGAACGGAAAGGCCCUGCUUUUGUGGGGUGCUCGAGUGGCGAACGGGUGAGUAACACGUGAGUAACCUGCCCUUGACUUUGGGAUAACUUCAGGAAACUGGGGCUAAUACCGGAUAGGAGCUCCUGCUGCAUGGUGGGGGUUGGAAAGUUUCGGCGGUUGGGGAUGGACUCGCGGCUUAUCAGCUUGUUGGUGGGGUAGUGGCUUACCAAGGCUUUGACGGGUAGCCGGCCUGAGAGGGUGACCGGCCACAUUGGGACUGAGAUACGGCCCAGACUCCUACGGGAGGCAGCAGUGGGGAAUAUUGCACAAUGGGCGGAAGCCUGAUGUAGCAACGCCGCGUGCGGGAUGACGGCCUUCGGGUUGUAAACCGCUUUCGCCUGUGACGAGGCGUGAGUGACGGUAAUGGGUAAAGAAGCACCGGCUAACUACGUG